rnacentral:siRNA from 1 species
UGGAGCAUUUUGUGAUGAACGC